ACAGCUUUCCUUUAAUAUUUUUUUAGAAAAAAAAAACUUCACAUACCGCCCAUAUAGUUUCGCAUUUUCUCACUUUAGUAUCUGUGAUUUAAAGUGUAUCAAACUAACAUCAUGUGGUUUUAUUUUUAUUUUUUCGUCAACUUUUCUGUUAAUAUUUUGUUAAAUUAUAUACAAAAAUUUUAAAUAUUUCAUAUAAAUUUAUCGAAUAUGCACGGUAAUAUUUUAUCUAAUUGUUCAUUAUCUACCGUCUAGUUUUUAUAGUAAUUAAGAACUCUAUGAAUGAAUUAAUAAUGAAAGAUAUAUUUGGAAACAAAAUUAAGAUAUUGUAUAUAAAUAUCAGAAAGCAAACAAACUAUUUGAAUAGUAAAAUUAAAAUUUUUUAACGUAGUUAUUUUAGAUAAAAUAAUAAGAUUUGUU
rnacentral:lncRNA from 1 species